UUGUGUUAACAGGAUAUGCAGCGCUUAUUUUGUUGAAUUUGUUUUCAGAGUCUGUGUGUUUUUGCUUUUGUAUUGUGUCUGCAUUUGCAGGAGAAAGGAGACAGGGGGGUUGGCAGGACUCCAGGACUCUGUAGCAGAUCCAGCAGAAGUGGGUCCAGGUCCAGAUCCUGCUCGAAGUCUGCAAGGGCAUCUAUCACAGCAUGAGUGCUAAUGCUAGCUCAGCGGCAGGAAGGAUUCGAACCAGACUCCUCUCACCUGGAGAGCUUCACCUUGCGGCGGUAGACCAACGAAUCGGACCACUAGAGCCCUUCCCACUCAGCUUCUCUCUCAGCUCUUCACCCAUCAACUUCCGCUGAUUCAACCAAUCACGAGCGGAGCUAGGCGGGCCACAGUCGGUCGACCAAUCAGCGCCUUGUCUGACGACGUUGGCUAGCGUCUGCCGUCAUUCGACGUGACCUGAGCGGAGGAGAGCAGAGCGGCGGACAAACAAACACGGAAAAAACGAGUAAAAAUACGGAGUAAAAUCAACGUUUGAGUCGCCGUUUCGUCGCCUCAGUUUGUUAACACACGAAGACUCUUCAUCACCGAGGAAAUCUGGAUAUUAAAACGAGCUUUGGAGCUGUUUUUGUCGAACACGAGUGAGGCUGGACGCUGAGCACACGUGCGACGCUAAGGUUUUUCCAGGCCUUUCCAGGUCUCCCUCUCCAGCUGCUGCAGCCUGGACAGAAACACCAGCUCUCACACACCACAGAGGUGUCACCACUUCAUCCAGAGUGCAGAGACCAGGACCAGGAUCCACCACGGAGACCUUCAGGUGAAUUCACAGAAACGUCUGGAUCCACUGAAGGUGAAGGAGGAGGAGGAAGCAGCUGAUGAAAGAAAACCACAGAGUGAUGAAGCUGUUGAUCACAGACAGACUGACAGACCUGCUGCUUCUAACAACAACAAGACACUGAACUCAACUGGAGACACUUUGUUUUAUUGUCCCACCAACAUGUGAUGGAGCUGUGAGCUUAUUUCACACUAACACGUCUCCAUCAAACAUCUUUAACAACACAAAACUGUUUAUGAUCAAUGAUUGUAUCAUGAACAGUUAAAUGUCGUUAACGUGUUCGUCUGUAAAAUGAGCUCACGGCUCCGUCACAGUGGGAAUAAAAACAAAGUGU